GCAUGGGUGGUUUAGUGGUAGAAUUCUUGCCUGCCACGUGGGAGACAUGGGUUUGAUUCCUGGCUCAUGCA
rfam:Tupaia chinensis contig168696, whole genome shotgun sequence.